rnacentral:rRNA from 1 species
CCUACGGGUGGCAGCAGUGAGGAAUAUUGGUCAAUGGACGCGAGUCUGAACCAGCCAAGUAGCGUGAAGGCUGACUGCCCUAUGGGUUGUAAACUUCUUUUAUAUGGGAAUAAAAUGUUCCACGUGUGGGAUUUUGUAUGUACCAUAUGAAUAAGGAUCGGCUAACUCCGUGCCAGCAGCCGCGGUAAUACGGAGGAUCCGAGCGUUAUCCGGAUUUAUUGGGUUUAGAGGGAGCGUAGGUGGAUUGUUAAGGCAGUUGUGAAAGUUUGCGGCUCAACCGUAAAAUUGCAGUUGAUACUGGCAGUCUUGAGUACAGUAGAGGUGGGCGGAAUUCGUGGUGUAGCGGUGAAAUGCUUAGAUAUCACGAAGAACUCCGAUUGCGAAGGCAGUUCACUGGACUGCAACUGACACUGAGGCUCGAAAGUGUGGGUAUCAAACAGGAUUAGAUACCCGUGUAGUC